AUGGGAUUUGCCUUUAAGUGUGCUUUCUCAGACUACUUUCCAUGUGGGACAAUGUGGACAAGAUACUAUAUAGGAUAUUAAGGAGGAUUGCAGGGGAGCCGGAGCCUAUCCCAGCAAGCAGUGCGUGAAAGAUGGAAUACACUGCAGAUGGGAUGAAAUUCCAUUGCAGGGAAUUUUUAUUCAGAUUUCAUCACUUGGCUUAAAUCGUUUGGAGUGAAAUAACUCGUGUAUCAUGUCCAUUUGCAUUGUGUAGCCAGAGUAUCAGAGAAGUCUUGGAAUGUGGUGCACUGUCAAUACCACAUGAACCUUUGAGGGAUAUGAACCAUCACUGUAACGAACAGUUCUUUCCGGACCCUAUACGGACGACACAAUCCGAAGAAGUGGGGAAACA